rnacentral:snRNA from 1 species
CUGCUUUGGCAGAACGUGCACUAAUACUGGAUGACAGAAGAUUAGCAAGGCCGCUGUGCAAGGGUGGCAGGCGAAUCUGUGAAGUGUUCCAUAAUUUC